CAUUUACAAUACAGUGCUUGAACCUAGGGAGAGGAGGGCUCCAAACUGAAAAGGGAAGGGAUUGGGGAAGAAAGAUAAAAAACAACCAAAUAUGGAAAAAUGAAGUGCACCAAUUUAUGAUCUAGAACAUUACAGGAUCCCACCAAAGGCUGUAGUGCCAGAGAGCAACUGGAAGAAGAUUUUUACUUUCUAUGCUAGCAGCUACAUCUGUUUUCAACGAAAGCUAGGCUUCCUACUUUUGGCACAUGUGUAGGCCUGAAGGUGCCCAAUUAAGUCAAACAGAUGAAGCACACAUUCAUGGACUAUCACCUACUUCUGCUUGCAAAGAUUUAAUGGAUAUGCUAUAGGACUUUCUUUAAGCUGAAGUAUAUUAAUAUAUAUUUAUAUAAUCUUUUGUACAAGUAUGAGACUUAACCUUGGAUGGUUUGUUAUUUAGUUUGCUGAAUGGCUGUUCUAAAACUGCCUAAAAUGACAGGACAAAUUUGUUUGUGGGAACAGGAAAAUAUCUAAGAAGCAAAAGGAGGCUAAAAAACACAACACAUUGGCAGGAACAUUAAAAAUAGGCAUGUCAACAGGACUUUUCAUGACAAAGAUCCUUCCUUAUCCUCUGUCUAUUACACUAUUGAUCCAAGUAAUCCUGUCCAGUCACUAGAGACAUUUCCUAGUCAGAAAUGAUUUCCACAAGGAAAUUAGCUAUUUCUGAAAAUGAUUAAGGAAGAUUCCUUUGUAGGGGAAUACAAUGGUUGGGUGGGUUGCUAGGGACAG